rnacentral:rRNA from 1 species
GCGGCCGCGGGAAUUUCGAUUCCUGGCUCAGGAUGAACGCUAGCUACAGGCUUAACACAUGCAAGUCGAGGGGAAACGACAUCGAAAGCUUGCUUUUGAUGGGCGUCGACCGGCGCACGGGUGAGUAACGCGUAUCCAACCUGCCCAUCACUYGGGGAUAACCUUCGCGAAAGUAAGACUAAUACCCAAUGAUAUCUCUAGAAGACAUCUGAAGGAGAUUAAAGAUUUAUCGGUGAUGGAUGGGGAUGCGUCUGAUUAGCUUGUUGGCGGGGUAACGGCCCACCUAGUCAACGAUGGAUAGGGGUUCUGAGAGGAAGGUCCCCCACAUUGGAACUGAGACACGGUCCAAACUCCUACGGGAGGCAGCAGUGAGGAAUAUUGGUCAAUGGGCGAUGGCCUGAACCAGCCAAGUAGCGUGAAGGAUGACUGCCCUAUGGGUUGUAAACUUCUUUUAUAAAGGAAUAAAGUCGGGUAUGCAUACCCGUUUGCAUGUACUUUAUGAAUAAGGAUCGGCUAACUCCGUGCCAGCAGCCGCGGUAAUACGGAGGAUCCGAGCGUUAUCCGGAUUUAUUGGGUUUAAAGGGAGCGUAGAUGGAUGUUUAAGUCAGUUGUGAAAGUUUGCGGCUCAACCGUAAAAUUGCAGUUGAUACUGGAUGUCUUGAGUGCAGUUGAGGCAGGCGGAAUUCGUGGUGUAGCGGUGAAAUGCUUAGAUAUCACGAARAACUCCGAUUGCGAAGGCAGCUCACUGGAGCGCAACUGACGCUGAAGCUCGAAAGUGCGGGUAUCGAACAGGAUUAGAUACCCUGGUAGUCCGCACGGUAAACGAUGGAUGCCCGCUGUUGGUCUGAAUAGGUCAGCGGCCRAGCGAAAGCAUUAAGCAUCCCMCCKGGGGAGUACGCCGGCUACGGUGAAACUCAAAGAAAUUGACGG